AUUGAACGCUGGCGGCAGGCUUAACACAUGCAAGUCGAGCGAGCGGCGGACGGGUGAGUAAUGUCUGGGAAACUGCCUGAUGGAGGGGGAUAACUACUGGAAACGGUAGCUACUACCGCAUACCAUCAGAUUGGCCACGAUGGGAUUAGCGAGUGGGUGGGGUAAGGGCUCACCAAGGCGACGAUCCCUAGCUGGGCUGAGAGGCUGACCGGCCACACGGGGACUGAGACACGGGCCAGACUCCUACGGGAGGCAGCAGUGGGGAAUAUUGGACAAUGGGCGAAAGCCUGAUGCAGCCAUGCCGCGUGUGUGAAGAAGGCCUUCGGGUUGUAAAGCACUUUCGGCGGAGAGGCGUUACUCGAAGAAGAAGCACCGGCUAACUCCGUGCCAGCAGCCGCGGUAAUUC
rnacentral:rRNA from 1 species